rnacentral:lncRNA from 1 species
GAAUGAUUAGCAUCAUUAAGAAGAUUUCAAUUAUCACUUACAUUUCAGUAAAAAUUAAACUAAUAAUGUUACGCAACAUUGAAUGAAAAGGCUACCUGUAAAGAGUAAUAUUGGAACAUAAACCAAGUAAAAAUAUAUGAACAAAGAAAGUUGACAAUUAUCUGUUUGAUGUCAUUCAUGGGUCGAAGGUGGUUGCGGUGGCUUCGUCAUUUUAUCCACCACUGUUUUCAUGUAACUUAUAAGCAGCUCCUACUUUCGGCCAAAACUCUCCAUACCUAUAUUCAUUGCAUCAACCUAUUUUCUGACCUCAAUCAUCUGUGAACACAGCGACAAGAGUUGAUUAUGGGCAGUUGAUUAUGGGGAGCCAAAAAGUGUUUGGUGGUGAAAGGGGCUCCGGGAUUGGAAGUUGCGGAAUUAUUUUCUUGGGAGCUCAUUUUAAGUAUAAAUUUUUG